rnacentral:lncRNA from 1 species
GCACAUUUCACUAGACUUAAGUGUAUAAAAAUCUUUUAAAAACACAAGGAAGGGGUUGCAUGCACUGGGGCUUGCCUGGGAUAAACACUACGUUAGUGUUUGUUAGACGUCGAUCACUUGACGACCAUCCUUUGUCUUGGCACUCGUUAGAUUAUCCAUCUUCAGGUUGGCCCGACUGACGACGUCGUCUUGCGGAGAUGUCCAAUCUCUGCAUUAUCCUGGGGUCGACUGGGGUUGUCUUCCACAUCACAUGAUUAAUUAUCGUACCUAAAUGAAAUGCAUAAUGCACAUGUAUGAAUAUAAAAAGAACUAGCACAAUACUAGAUAAUGUUACACAGUCGAGGAUUACACACUACUAAUAAGUCAUUAGAACCAAUUACAAGAAACGCCAGUUGUCGAUAUAAGACUAACUAUAAUAUUCGCGCUUCUUAUGCUCAUCCGGUGCUAGCUCAAACAUCACGAAACAACACACUAAGCAUAAAUUUUAUAUCUUUCUUAGCUAACACAUAACACCAAAGACUAACAACACUUAAGUUAAUUAAUCUAGUAUACCUCGGACUUCGAGUAACAAUUAGUAGCUUUACAAUUAGCUUUAGAAUUACUAUUCUAAAAUAUCAUGCAAAGCAUAUCGACUAAAUAAAGCACCACACUAAUUGUUCUAAUAAGUAGAACAUAAUCUUACAGCAUAGAGUUCUACAAAAUGGCUUCCCUAACAACUAAAGAUCUAAAGCGCUUAUAAGCACUCUCCACUGACAGUUCUAAGGUUUUCACAGAAACGGACUUAUCGAUCUUACUUGCCUCCUAAUUUUUUUGGGUAACAACAAUUAUUUAUUUAUGACAUUUAAUCUAUUAAUAAACCUAGAGAAUGUGAUGUCUGAUAUGAAAGGGUAUCGACUCCAUCAAAUAAUUAAAAUAUGGCUCUAGCCAACAUAAAACGCCACCAUGGAUUAAAUUGAGAAUUGGGUCCAUGGACUCCAUAAAAUUCAAAGGUAGUGUAACAAUUUAAUUGUUUUUUAAAGUUACUUAUUUCACUAAAGGAAAAGUAUCUCUAAUUACGCGAAAAUUUGUUGACUAAUAGAACACACUCUAAAUUAAAUCAAACUAUUCCUCAAUCUGUUGUAAGUCUACAUAAUACUUAACUCGAGUCGAGAUCCGCAAAUACGAGGACGAUUCAGAGUUGGGCAAAACACCGAAUAUCUAGCGAUCGACGCACGAAACUUCACUCUCCACCAUCCAAUUUAAACAGUAUGCUAAUCGAUGAGAUUCGGUUAAAGAGAGAACGUUGAUGAUUAUUGGUUUUAAGUCGAACAAAUAUUCGAUUAAGACAUUUUAGCAAACAUUUAAUAUAACCACAACACAUGUGCAACUAACUAAAGAAUCGUCGUGACCAAUAUACUCAUUUAAUUCGUUAAUUAAAUCAAAUAGCCAGAGUAAUAUAUGAGCUUACCGCAACUAAGUCGAUCUCGGAUUUUGCAAGGA